rnacentral:rRNA from 1 species
AUUCUGAGUAACGUAGCUAACGCGUGAAGUCAGCCGCCUGGGGAGUACGGUCGCAAGAUUAAACUCAAAGGAAUUGACGGGGACCCGCACAAGCGGUGGAUGAUGUGGAUUAAUUCGAUGCAACGCGAAAAACCUUACCUACCCUUGACAUGUCACUAACGAAGUAGAGAUACAUUAGGUGCCCGUAAGGGAAAGUGAACACAGGUGCUGCAUGGCUGUCGUCAGCUCGUGUCGUGAGAUGUUGGGUUAAGUCCCGCAACGAGCGCAACCCUUGUCUUUAGUUGCUACGCAAGAGCACUCUAAAGAGACUGCCGGUGACAAACCGGAGGAAGGUGGGGAUGACGUCAAGUCCUCAUGGCCCUUAUGGGUAGGGCUUCACACGUCAUACAAUGGUGCAUACAGAGGGUUGCCAACCCGCGAGGGGGAGCUAAUCUCAGAAAAUGCAUCGUAGUCCGGAUCGUAGUCUGCAACUCGACUACGUGAAGCUGGAAUCGCUAGUAAUCGCGGAUCAGAAUGCCGCGGUGAAUACGUUCCCGGGUCUUGUACACACCGCCCGUCAUACCAUGGGAGUGGGUUUUGC